rnacentral:lncRNA from 1 species
GUCUUUGGCUCGUUUUCACAUUUUGUAAACAUGACUUCAGCGAUUUGUUGUUAUGUUCUAUGAAUUAAUGGUACUCUAUACUGUUAUUCUUGUCACAGUGAUGAAGUUAUAAUAAUACAAGAAGUGCAGAGGAAAUGCCUGAAAUGUCCUCUGAUACGGAACGUCUAAAAUAAGUAUGGUAUCGACGAAGACCCAAAUUUAAUAUACAAAAAAAAACCAUGAACAUGAACAAGGCAACAGUACCAGUUUAAACAUUGUAAAUAAAGGUUGACUAAAAUAUUGUUGGGGUUGGAAGAAGUUAUUGUAUAUUUAUUGAAAUUGCAAUUAUAAAAUCACAGGAACAAUAUCCAUGAUUGUAUUUAAAAUCAUAAAGGUAAGUAUCAACACCUCUUUGCCAAAAUAUACUGAUAAUUUUUUUUUACAGAAGUCAAUUAAAAUGGCCCACUCAUUUGACAACAUGGCCCAUUAUUUUUUAAAAUGGCCCAUUGAAUUUAUUUUUGAGGGGCCUUGGGCCCAUAGUGAAAAAAACCUUCCAGAUCACUG